ACCUUUAGACCAGAUAUUUGGAAUACGGCCUUGGAACAGUUUCACAGGGACAGAUUUAUGAGGAACCAUGGUUUGCCUCUUGUCUCAUUCGAAUGUGAUCUUGAUGAAUUUGAACUGGAUCCACAAGACAGUGGAGGACCAAGGUGAGAAUUUUUUGGUCGGUUAGUGAAAGCAAUCUUUGAAGACAGUGGAGCAUUUGAAGAGUCACCCAAUGGAUUUAUACCAAGGCUGACUGACAUGAAGUUGAAAAAUGGAGUUUACCGGACCAUUGGGAAGAUGAUUUCCACCAUAAUAAUCCAGGGGGCUGAGCCACCAGAGCAUCUAGCACCUUGAGUGGUGGACUACAUUUUGACUGGAGAUGUCCUCCAAGUGAAUGCUACACCUGAUGAUGUCUCGGCCUCUAAGCUUAGGGAAAUACUGAAGAAGGUUGAAAAAUCGAGCACAGAAAGAGAGCUGGAAGACGCAGUCAAGCAGUGCGACUCUUGGCGCUUUGAGGUGGAAGGUCUUCCAAACCCAGUUAAUAUGAAUACAAGGGAUACUUUUGUGAAGAAGGCAGCCCUCUUUCAUGUAAUCUUAAAAAGACAAGCUUGUCUUGAUCAGUUAAUCGAUGGACUGUUGUACUACGCGGUAACUCGAUUCUAAUGGU